rnacentral:snRNA from 1 species
UCGGUCUUUACCAAUAGAGCUAA